GACAGAGGUGCCAAGCGUUAGGCGGAAUUACUGGGCUUAAAGCGUGUGUAGGCGGAUCGUUAAGUACCUUGUGAAAUCCCACGGCUCAACCGUGGAACUGCUGGGUAUACUGGCGGUCUUGAGCCACCUAGGGGCAACUGGAACAAGCGGUGGAGCGGUGAAAUGCGUAGAUAUCGCUUGGAACGCCAACGGUGAAAACAGGUUGCUGGGGGUGUGCUGACGCUGAGACACGAAAGCCAGGGGAGCGAACGGG
rnacentral:rRNA from 1 species